rnacentral:tRNA from 1 species
GGGUAAUUAGCUCAAGUGGUAGAGCGCUCGCUUAGCAUGUGAGAGGUAACGGGAUCGAUACCCGUAUUCUCCA